AAGGUUAGCUAAUCCUGGUCGGACAUCAGGAGGUUAGUGCAAUGGCAUAAGCUAGCUUGACUGCGAGCGUGACGGCGCGAGCAGGUGCGAAAGCAGGUCAUAGUGAUCCGGUGGUUCUGAAUGGAAGGGCCAUCGCUCAACGGAUAAAAGGUACUCCGGGGAUAACAGGCUGAUACCGCCCAAGAGUUCAUAUCGACGGCGGUGUUUGGCACCUCGAUGUCGGCUCAUCACAUCCUGGGGCUGAAGUAGGUCCCAAGGGUAUGGCUGUUCGCCAUUUAAAGUGGUACGCGAGCUGGGUUUAGAACGUCGUGAGACAGUUCGGUCCCUAUCUGCCGUGGGCGCUGGAGAAUUGAGGGGGGCUGCUCCUAGUACGAGAGGACCGGAGUGGACGCAUCACUGGUGUUCGGGUUGUCAUGCCAAUGGCACUGCCCGGUAGCUAAAUGCGGAAGAGAUAAGUGCUGAAAGCAUCUAAGCACGAAACUUGCCCCGAGAUGAGUUCUCCCUGAGACUUUAAGUCUCCUGAAGGAACGUUGAAGACGA
rnacentral:rRNA from 1 species